CAACCCUUUUUCUCAACAAAGAAUUAACACUUUCGAUGUCUGUACAAUGAGACACUACAAAAAAAAAGAAAAGGUGUGAUCCGAAAGCAAUAACAUUUUAUUUGUGUUCAGUCUUUCAGGUGGGUUCUUACAUCAUUGUUGUGAAAGCACUCAAUCGCUUGGAGUAACUGGAAGAGGGCUGCACUUUGUGUGGUACCAGAUCUCCUUGACGCCGCUGAGACCCGGGACAUCAGUCUGCAUUUAGAGGUAAGGCCUCCACACAAACUAACUUUGGGAGAAGCUGAUGGACCCGUAUGGCAAAAUGUGCCAUUAUGCCUAAUUAAAAAUUGAUAAGAGCUAAAUUUUUAAAAC
rnacentral:lncRNA from 1 species